rnacentral:tRNA from 1 species
AAGGUAAUAGCUCAGCAGUAGAGUGCAUGCUUAGCAUGCAUGAGGUACUGGGUUCAAUCCUCAAUAUCUUUA